GAUGAAGAACGUAGCGAAAUGCGAUAAGUAAUGUGAAUUGCAGAAUUCAGUGAAUCAUCGAAACUUUGAACGCACAUUGCGCCCCCUGGUAUUCCGGGGGGCAUGCCUGUCCGAGCGUCAUUACAACCCUCAAGCUCAGCUUGGUGUUGGGCCCCGCCGCCCCGGCGGGCCCUAAAGUCAGUGGCGGUGCCGUCCGGCUCCGAGCGUAGUAAUUCUUCUCGCUCUGGAGGUCCGGUCGUGUGCUCGCCAGCAACCCCCAAUUUUUUUCAGGUUGACCUCGGAUCAGGUAGGGAUACCCGCUGAACUUAAGCAUAUCAAUAAGCGGAGGA
rnacentral:misc_RNA from 1 species